rnacentral:rRNA from 1 species
GAUGAACGCUGGCGGCAUGCCUAAUACAUGCAAGUCGAGCGAACGGACGAGAAGCUUGCUUCUCUGAUGUUAGCGGCGGACGGGUGAGUAACACGUGGAUAACCUACCUAUAAGACUGGGAUAACUUCGGGAAACCGGAGCUAAUAACGGAUAAUAUUUUGAACCGCAUGGUUCAAAAGUGAAAGACGGUCUUGCUGUCACUUAUAGAUGGAUCCGCGCUGCAUUAGCUAGUUGGUAAGGUAACGGCUUACCAAGGCAACGAUGCAUAGCCGACCUGAGAGGGUGAUCGGCCACACUGGAACUGAGACACGGUCCAGACUCCUACGGGAGGCGGCAGUAGGGAAUCUUCCGCAAUGGGCGAAAGCCUGACGGAGCAACGCCGCGUGAGUGAUGAAGGUCUUCGGAUCGUAAAACUCUGUUAUUAGGGAAGAACAUAUGUGUAAGUAACUGUGCACAUCUUGACGGUACCUAAUCAGAAAGCCACGGCUAACUACGUG